rnacentral:rRNA from 1 species
UACGGGGGGAGCAAGCGUUGUUCGGAUUUACUGGGCGUAAAGGGCGCGUAGGCGGGCCAUCAAGUCAGGGGUGAAAGCCCCCAGCUCAACUGGGGAAGUGCCUCUGAUACUGGUGGCCUCGAGGGAGGUAGGGGCGUGCGGAACUUCCGGUGGAGCGGUGAAAUGCGUUGAUAUCGACCGGAACUCCGGUGGCGAAGGCGAGGUGCUGGGCCCUUUCUGACGCUGAGUGCGCGAAAGCCAGGGGAGCAAACGGG